AUACGGAGGGUCCAAGCGUUAUCCGGAAUCAUUGGGUUUAAAGGGUCCGCAGGCGGUCAAUUAAGUCAGAGGUGAAAGCCCAUCGCUCAACGAUGGAACUGCCUUUGAUACUGGUUGACUUGAGUUAUACGGAAGUAGAUAGAAUAAGUAGUGUAGCGGUGAAAUGCAUAGAUAUUACUUAGAAUACCGAUUGCGAAGGCAGUCUACUACGUAUAUACUGACGCUGAGGCGCGAAAGCGUGGGGAGCAAACAGGAUUAGAAACCCUAGUAGUCC
rnacentral:rRNA from 1 species